ACUGCUAUCGGGGUGGGACUAAGACAUGCGAGUCGAACGCUUCACAGCUAUGAGUGAGACGUGGCAUACGGCUCAGUAACACGUGGCUAACCUACCCUCGAGACGGAGACAACCCCGGGAAACUGGGGCUAAUCCCCGAUAGGUGAAUACUCCUGGAAUGGGUCUUCGCCCAAAAAGUGUUGGAAUCAUGCUUUCUAACAUCGCUCGAGGAUGGAGCCGCGGCCGAUCAGGUAGUUGGUGAGGUAGUGGCUCACCAAGCCUAUAACCGGUACGGGCCGUGGGAGCGGAAGCCCGGAGAUGGGAACUGAGACAAGGUCCCAGGCCCUACGGGGCGCAGCAGUCGCGAAAACUCCGCAAUGCACGAAAGUGUGACGGGGCUACCCCGAGUGCCGUCCGCUGAGGAUAGCUUUUCUCCGGUGUAAUGAGUCGGAGGAAUAAGGGGAGGGCAAGACUGGUGUCAGCCGCCGCGGUAAUACCAGCUCCCCGAGUGGUAGGGACGAUUAUUGGGCUUAAAGCGUCCGUAGCUGGCUUGACAAGUCUCUCGUUAAAUCCAGCGACCUAAUCGCUGGGCUGCGGGAGAUACUGCCAGGCUAGGGGGCGGAAGAGGUCGACGGUAUUCUCGGGGUAGGGGUGAAAUCCUAUAAUCCUGAGAAGACCACCAGUGGCGAAGGCGGUCGGCUAGAACGCGCUUGACGGUGAUGGACGAAAGCUGGGGUAGCAAACCGGAUUAGAUACCCGGGUAGUCCCGGCUGUAAACGAUGCGGGCUAGGUGUCGGAGUGGAUACGAGCCGCUUCGGUGCCGCAGGGAAACUGUUAAGCCCGCCGCCUGGGAAGUACGGUCGCAAGGCUGAAACUUAAAGGAAUUGGCGGGGGAGCACUACAAGGCGUGAAG
rnacentral:rRNA from 1 species